rnacentral:lncRNA from 1 species
GGAAGAGGCUUUUAUUUGUAAAGAAAUGAACUUACAACUGAUCUACAAUAUAUUAUUGUAAUAUAAACAAUAUAAAUAAAUGAUCCUGUAGGCCCACUAAUCUUCCAUCCAGACCCACAUGAAGCAAUGUUACAACAAUAUUCUAUAUGAAAAUGUGCAGGUAACAAAGGUGCAAUUACAAGCAAGUUAAGCAGCAGAGUAUAAGGUGCUUUAAUUUAAUAGUUAAUGUUGCCAUCAACAAACAUUUAAAUGCUCAAUUUACUUCACUGAAUACAGACACAACAAAUAUGAAAAUCUAAAUUCAUACACAUGCUACUUAAUAUGAAAGUGCUUUCUCUUUUUUAAAAAAAUACACCAAAUGGACACUUUUUACAUAGAUCAAAUGUGCUCUUACAAUGCAAAAUUAACCUUCAUUUUCAGGUUAUACAUUUUAAAACUGUAGCUAUCAACACCAAUCUAGGAACUCUAAUGCUAAGAGUGCUAAAAACUAUUUCAUUUCUUGUAAGGAGGACUCUAAUACAAUAUCCAAUGUAAAGAAUACAUCUAUAUAUAAUCUUAACAUGUUUUCUGUAAAGAUAAAAAAUGUUUUCUUUCCCCUUGGUGAUCUUUGUUCAUCCUGGGUGGAUCAUCUUUUGAGGUUUUAAUAAUAUGAAAGUCCUAUUUUAGAACAAUGGGAGGAACCAAAAGGGGAAUUAAAAAAUUGGUUAACGUGUGCUUGAAGCAUCCAAAAAACACCAGUUUAUCACAACAAUUGGUCUUUGCUAAAAUUAACAAAAUUUUAAUAAGCAAGACGACAAAAAGUACUAAUUUAAAAGGCUUGAAAUGCCUGCCACCAUUGUCAGUAUCCAUCCAUCCAACCUUCAUUUACUACAAGCACAAUACUACUUUGAGGAUAGUUUUUGGAACUUAUUUUGACUUUUUUCCCUAUAGGAAAAACAAAGACCAAGCUUUUGAAGGAGAGGACUGGGAAUCUAGUUUAAAUGUCUACAUCCAAAAUUAUAUCAUCUUUGCGCAUUCAGUUGACUUUUUAAAAUUUAAGAAUACAUAUACAAAAAGUACUUAUGGAAUACAUAUUUUAACAGCAUAACAUAUUUGAAGAAUUAGUUACACUUUAAAAAUUAAAACACUUGAAAAGUAUUUUUUAAACCAGUACCAUGGAAUAACUUUUUGAAACCCAGAUUAUCUGGCUACUUAGAUGAUAGUCUUCCUGUUUUCAAUUAGUUUGAAAGAUUCUAAUAUAGAUUCUAACCCAACAGUUUAUAUGGAUAUUUUCCUGCUUUAAAAAGCUGCAACAGGCUAGGCGCAGUGGCUCAUGCCUAUAAUCCCGGCACUUUGGGAGGCUGAGGUGGGCGGAUCACUUGAGGUCAGGAGUUCGAGUCCAGCCUGGCCAACAUGGUGAAACCCCAUCUCUACUAAAAAUACAAAAAACUGGCCAGGCAUAGUGGUGCAUGCCAGUAAUCCCAGCUACUUGGGAGGCCAAGGUGGGAGAAUCUAUUGAACCUGGGAGGUGGAGGUUGCAUUGAGCCAAGAUCACACCGCUGCACUCAAGCCUGGGUGACAGUGAGACUCUGUCUCAAAACAAACAAAACAAAAAAGCUAAAACAAUGAUAAACUAUUUUUAAUAGAUAUUUUCAUUCUAUAUCUUUAUGGAGAAUGUCAGUAUCAACUGAUGUUAACAAGUAAAGCUUUGUCAACAGGAAUUACAAUGUGAUUCACAGAUCCCAGAAUGACAAGGAAGGGACCUUAACCCAAUAAAUGAUUCUCCCAUUCAAUGUUUACCCCCUAGAUACUUAACAAUUCAAGCAUGGAACUGUUUCAUGUUUACCCGUUCUACAUUUAAAGGAUGCCCUUUUACUAUAUAUGUGCUUUCUAGAAUAUUACUGAUUCUUACAUAUCUUUAAAAGUUGGAUAUUUGUAAUAGCUUAAAGUACAGUAACACUUAUUUUGUGUAAUCUUUCUUAAUUUAAAAACAAAAAAUAAAUGAACAAGUCAGUUCCAAUGAUCUCCUUUGAGAUUUUUCAGUUUUAGAAAGUUGCUACACUGUCGGACAGGUGUGGUGGCUCAUGCCUGUAAUCCCAGCACUUAGGGAGGCCAAGGCAGGUGGAUCACUUGAGGUCAAGAGUUCGAGACUAGCCUGGCCAACAUGGUGAAGCCCCGUCUCUACUAAAAAUACAAAAAUUAGCCAGGUGUGGCGGCGGGCACCUGUAAUUCCAGCUACUUGGAAGGCUGAGGCAAGACAAUCGCUUCAACCCGGGAGGUGGAGGUUGCAGUGAGCUGAGAUCGCACCACUGCACACCAGCCUGGGCAACAGAGCGAACCCAUCUCAAAAAAAAAAAAAAGAAAAAAAAAAAAAAAGAAAGAAAGUUGCUCACUGUCAAUACUGGGUAAAAAGCUCUUAUAUCAACACCAGCUUUUUUUUUGUUCUGCCACAUGCCUUGUAUAGCAACAACUCUGGAAUAGAGUCAAGUGUCAAAAUAAUGUUGUGAAAUACGGGCUGUCUCAACCUGUAAGUCCUUAAUGUUAAGUCUCCUAAAUUUUGUAACUUAAUCAGGUAUGGGGCCAACUGAUGUUUAGUAUGUGAAAUGUGUUAUAAAAAUUAUGAUAUGAUUCACUCAGACCCCUUAGAUGUCAUCUAGCCUAACCCUUUACCCAAUGUAUACAAAUAUUCCCUCCCAGUUCCAAGUUUAUUAAGAUUCCCUCUCAGUAUAUUAAGUAGUAAUGAUUAUGUUCAUAUUUAUUUAAGCCACAAUGAAUUUUGGGGGGAAGAUUUUACUUACUACUAGUUCCUCAUGUCAUGUUCACCAAACACUGCACAUGUAAGUGUUCAAAUAGUUUGCUAAAUGAAUUUAAGUACAUGAAUGACAAUAUUCAUAUGUGUUCAUAUAUUCAGUGGUUAACCAAUAAGGAGCAUUUAGGAAAAUGUCAUCAUUUGCUUGUUAUGUAUGAAUUUUCUAUUUUAAUCCUUAGGAGAACAAAGACUGUAGGUGACCCAAGAAAUGGAUGCUUAUUAAGUAUAAAAUGAACCCUUAAAAAAGGAAAGAGAAUAAAGUAGGAAUAACCCCAUUACACAGCCUAGAAUCAUAGUUUUAGAGCUGGGAGGUACCUUAAAGAUGAAUUAAACCAAAAUCAACUUUUGAGUAGUACAGGCACCAUACUGCAUAUCUGGAAGCUGUUAAAACAGCUGAGUAAUUGCCCAACAUGUCACACACAGCUAACCCACUGAAAUAAAACCCCAGUCUCCAGACCAGUGUGUUAAUCCUCAUUCAUCAUCAUCUUAAUUCAUUAUUUACUACUGAAAUAGAUUAUUUACUGAUUAUUUAAUACUACCCAAAACAAAAAAUACUUUUAAGAGAAGCAUUCUAAAUAAAGAUUUAAACACUAGACACUUCUGGUUUACUUUAGGCAAGACUAAAAAAUUCUUUCUAAAACAGGUUGAUGUUUAACUUCACUAAUGACUAGACACCCCACCACUCUCUCAUAAACACCAACUUUUUCACCACCAUCACUUAAAGCUCCACAAAGCUUGGAUUUAACACUGAUAAUAUUCCAUGAAAUAUAACUUUUAAGCCAAUAAGUGAUGGUGACUAUCAAUCCUUAAGAUGAUUACUGGAGUAAAUUUAAACAGGUGCUCUAAAAGAACUUACUACCUUACUCUUAUAUUUAAUUAACACCUUGCCAUGUUAGUAUAACAGUGUUUUCAAAUUAUGUUGUUUUCAAAACUGAAAUUCAUUCAUUACUCUGCUUUUUUUAAACAACAAAUUUUGUUUUCUUUCUAUGGAUUCAUACUGAACACCACCAGUAUCACUGAGAGGACUAGUACUUGUAAAAAGCAGUAGAAACAAAAAUAUUUUUCAAAAGUAUAAAGCUAGCUAGAACCUCACUAUGUUGUACCUCUAACAUUUCCGAUUAAAAUUGUCAUCUUUAAGUAAAAUUAAAUGUCAACAAACUAUAAAAGGGAAAAAAUAAAACAUCUGGAAAACAUUUCCCAAAUGUUCCCAUAAACAUGACACUUGGAAGGGGUGUGUGCAUGUGUCUGAGUAGAAAAGCUGAUCUUCAGAGCUGAAAAGGAGGGCAGAGAUUCUCCCUUAAUGUAUGUUUUCUAAAUUGAAAGUUUAGAAAAAGCCAUAUUCUCUGGAAUGUGAUGGUAAUAAUUAUAUUUGUAUUAUUUGUAUUAAUGCUUUACAACUUUCAAAAAAAAGCUUUCUCAUAGUACAAUUUUAAAACGGAUUAGGUUCUAAAAACUAAUAUGUAAAACUUUGAAAAUUCUUAAAAAUUUAGGAAAUUCUUUUUCCAAAGAAGGUAAUCUAAUUUUAAAUUUAUUUGAAGAAAGCUUAUAUAACUACUGUGAACAAAACUAUAUGAUACAUUUUAUGAACUUCUAAUAAAAGAGGACGUAUCUUCCCAAAUAAUUUUUUGUUUUGUUUUUUUGAGAUGGAGUCUCGCUCUGUCACCCAGGCUGGAGUGCAGGGGUGUGAUCUUGGCUCACUGCAACCUCCACCACCUGGGUUCAAGCAAUUCUCCUGUCUCAGCCUCCCAAGUAGCUGGAAUUACAGGUGUGAGCCACCAUGCCCAGCCCCAAAUAAUUUCUUUUAAGAUAUACAGCUUAACAAGUUGAAAUUUUAGUAAGAUUGCAUAUUUACUUUUCCUAAUACUGUAUUUGUGCUUAUCUAAAGUGGAUCACAAUCUUUGAGAUGAAAUUAAAUGCUCCAAGUAGAUUUGUAAAAUACCAAUAUUGAUGAAUGUGGGUAAACAGUUCAUUUCAUGAUCCACACUGCUGUGAACCAAAGAAGCAGAGGUAGGCUUGUGUUUACUGAAAUCCAGACUAGGAAAGAGAAACCUAUAGCUCUUCUUUUCCCAAUUCUUAGACUGAGACACAACCUAGCAAAUAAAAUACUAUCUUAAAAUGCCUCUCUUUAUAACAAUCUACAGAGGUGAUUCAACUGUGAUAUCUGAAAAUGGAAACUCUGUAAUUCUGGCAACUCAAUUACAACAACCUUUGAAUUUUUGACAAAUAUUCUCCAACUGUAAUAAAAGGUUCUCACCUUUUUCAGAAAUCAAAAAUCACUAACUUCUACAUCACUGGAACUAUUAAUAUCCAUGCUCCCAAGCAUGGAGACAGUGGGUAUAGAGAGUGAAAGAAUGAGUCUGAUUACAGGUAAAUCUUGACAUAUAAAAACUAUAACCUAUUUACUGCUAUAACUGGCAUCUAACAAAACGCAUUAUUUUGAACUAUGGAUGAAAGCCAUAUCUAUCCUAAAUAUCUUCUAUCCUCUUGGGUCUAGAAUGCUUUGUUCCUCCUACUUGUCUCCUCCUCUACUUCCCUAUCCUUCCCCCUAGAAAACCUUCCUUAGGGCCCAGCUAGUUACAUAUGUAGUACACAAGAUAGAGAUUGAGCAAUCAUUUUGCAUAGAUGCGCCAGUUUCCACUGCCCAAAGGUUGCUCUGGAACAUGACUGUCAGGUAUCAGAAAGUCCUGCCCCAGCUGCCUCCCUUCCUAAAGUUAGCCCCCAUACGAAAUCCUCUCUAAGGAUUCUGAGACAAAGAUCUCUCCAAGAAAGAAGUUUUCAUGGUUUUCUUGGAGCUAGAGGCCUUAGAGAGGUAGUGAGAUGAGGCCCUUUCAUGCCAUUAGCUAAUGCUCAAUGCCAGUAGGCUGCAUGUGUUCCUGCAAUCCACCAAGGUGAAAACCACAAACUAUAACCAGGCUGUUCUGGCUGAAAAUACAUCUUUAAAACAUUUUAACAGUGUGUCCAGUCAGUUUCAUCCACUGGAUAUGGCUGUCAGGUCAGCAUCACUCACAUACAUCUAUAAUAGUGUAUUCUUUCAAAAAUUGUUUAUACACACUUAAUAUAGGCAUAUAGCCUAAGACUAUAUUGCCUCCCUACCAUACUUGUGCCAUUGUGGUACCAAAAGCCUGAAGAUGUACAUAAUGUACUUUAAGACAUUUAACUGAACAAGUCAGUGGGAGACAGGGCACUAUAACACAUUUCAAUUCAAUCUAAGACUUGUAUUUGUGAAUAGAUGUCUCAUUAUAAUUUUAUACUUGAUACAUGAAGAUAAGCUACGUCAAAAAUUAUUCAAAGGCAUGAUCACAAUAAUACUUGUUUCAUAGUUCUAAGUAUUUUGAUACACCAGGAAACAAAAAUCAACUGGGAUCCCUAAUGAAAGAAAAUUAUUUCUUCUAAGUAAAACAUGAAUUUCACUUCAAAAGUGCAGAAAUGUGCUCAGUGUUGAAGUAGGCUAAGCUAACAAGGAUGAUGGCCUCCUCCUCUGACUCUUCCCAUGCUCAAGCUUUUGCAUUACCAUUUCUCUCCUCCCAUUCCACCUUGUCUACUCCUAGGUGACUGCUCUUAAAACACACCUUUUAAAAAGUUCUGUUUAGAGCAUUCAACAGCAAAGUAACAGGACCAUCAGGGAAAUAAUAUGCUACUUAAAAAGUGACAGGAGGAUUUGGGACAACACUCUAUCUCAUACUAUAUUGACUACUCAAAGCUGCAUAGCUGUGUCUUACACAUGCCUACACAAGGCUUGAUGAAUAUUAAUGUCAUAUAAAAAAUAAUUUUUACAAAUCAGCUCUCUUAGUUGUUUAACUUCCCCAGGAACACAAGGCUUAAAGCAAAAUUUCAAACUUAUGCUUUUUAUCCCAAUGGGACAAAGAGUGCAACACUGCAAGGAAGUCAGAAAAUGCAAACUUAGGUAGCAAAAGUAGGAAGAACCUCCAUGUUCCCUUUCUGUUUGUCAUUAUCUCUCCCCAGUCAAAAUCCUAAAACUAUUAGUAGUAGUAUGAAAGGAUAUGAAAACAAUUUACUCUCCCCACCUAUAUCAUACUGAAACUCUGCUUUAAAGCUCAGGAGAGAGGUGGAUGCUCAGUGUUGUCUAUAUAUCCAUUAUAUAUAGCUGAAGCUUUGAAAUUAAGAUGAUUAACUCAUCUUGAAAGAAACAGCUGCACCAAUGUGAUAGCAAACAAGCCAUUUUUAAAUAAAAACUCACUUGAAAAAAGCAAGUGCAUAUUUUGUGUAUGUUUUGAGUGGGGACAACAGAGAUCUGGACUAGAUUUAAGAUUAUACGGUAUUCUCCAAUAGAAAACCCUCUUGUAAGCCCCUCCUGAAUACUUAAGACAGCAGUAGGCACAGGGGCUUUCAAUAAGUACAGAAUGGCUGCUAUUAGGAAAGAGAACAAAUAAAAGGAGAGCCUACAACACAGUUCAAAAUUGAUACCUUAAAGGCCAUAGGUAAUACAGUUAUAGGAUGUAAUCAUUAUUGCUGGAGCAGUCUAUCCCCAUAUAAUAAAUUUUGUAUUAACCGUGGAUAAUCUAUGAAAAGUUUUAAUUCCAGGCGAGAUUUUCCGUUGCACCUCUCUCUCUCAUACUGUGGGCCAUCUCUUACUAAUGCUUAGCCUGUAUUUGUGUUCUGAAAUUCCAAGAAGAGGGAAAAGUCAAGCAUAUGACAAUUCUGUCAUGAUGAUUAACUGCUAAUAAAUGAAAACUCAUUAUAGAGUACCUAGCUUUCCUUGAUACUUUAAUCCAAUGAUUAAAAAUGUGAUAUAAAGAAAUACGUAACAUAGACUACAAGCUAUCGUAGGUCUGGAACAUGAGCCUUAUAUUAUAUUACAUAUUCUAAUCCUACAUGUAACUAUCAGUAAACAUCUUUUUUUAAAACAUUACUACACAAAGAAUUCCACAAAGCAUACAUUCAAACAAGAGGCAUCUAAAGAUUAAAAAAAUUACCCGCUGUAUUUUUGUAUAAAAAUAAUCAACAUUCUCUAAUGUACACAAAGCCAAAAGAUAAAUAUAGUAUCUGUGAUGUCUUCAGUGACAUCUUUAGUCUUCUACCAGCUCAACACAAUCUUUUUGAAAAGAGCAGUGAAAAUGACUGAAACUCACGGACUCUUUUUUUCCCCUCCUUACUCGACUUCUGCCAAAUAUCUGUGUAUGUUCCUUCAAUUACUAAAAUAUCUCAAUUGUGGUAAUAUAAGAAAAGAUGAAAACAAAACAUUCAUCAUCUCAAAUAAAAUUUUUGAUGUCCAGGACUAUAAAGCUUUCAGGGCUUCCACAAACAAUUUUGUUUUAGUGUCAUAAUUCUAUAGAACACUGUUCAGUAAAAGGUUUUGCUUUACAUUUUUUUCCUCAAACAUGUACAUACAAAAUUAUAUCCGAUGGUUCAAGAGAAAUCACUUGGUAAGUGCUUUGCAGGAAGCAUGCAAACGUUUGGUAAAGGAAGUAGGAAUGUGCAUUCUAGCUAGUCCCAGCAUGUUCAACAAUAGAAAAAAAUCCAAAGAGCAACCACGUAUCUGCUACAAACUAUUUUCUUGCCAGAAAAGGCUGUGCACUAGUUCAUAGGUAUAAUCAUAUUAUGUCUUCGUCAGUGCAGAGGAGCACAGAGGUAUGAAAGAUAAUCAGAAUGAAUUAGUACUUUCUGAGAGUUAAAUUAUUUGCAUGUUUGUCCUUAUUUUAUAGGACAAUUUGUAGAUUUUUUUUCUUUUUCUAGUAUGAUUAAACUAGAAAAAAUUAUUCAGCAGAAUAUUAAUGUUAUCUGAAUAAUACUUCCAUCAUAUAUGUUUAGUAAGCUUCAUCCUUUAAAAGUAUUCCUUUGGGUGAAAACAAUAUUUAUCACUCCUUCUAUAUCAGAGUUUCUCAACCUUGGCAGUACCGAUAUUUUUGAACCAAUAAUUCUUUACAGUGGAGGGGUGCUGUCCUGUGCAUUAUAAGAUGUUUAGAAACAUCUCUGGCUUCUAACUACUAGACACCAGUAGCAACCCUCCCCUGAACCCACCCCCAAGCUGUGACAACCAAAAUGUCUCAACAUUGCCAGAUGUCCCCUGGCGAUCAAAACUGACCUCCACUGAGAACCACUGCUCUAAAUAAAUGUACAAAAACUGAGAGGAAAACGUUCUCAGUCAAACCAAAUUCUUGGUCAAGUUUGGAAUAGAAACUAACUCUUCUCACUUCCAGAUCAGUAUUGUUCAUACUAGAACACAAUUCCUUUUUUAUAGAUAAAGCAUAUGUCUAAAAGACAUGUUUUUUAAAAUGUACACUGAUUUCAUACGAUUCUGUCACUGGACUACUAAAUUAUUCCAUAAUAUACCUCUCAUGACAACCUUUAGAAAACUAAUAGGGUAGAAAAAAUGUAUAAGAAAAUUGAAUCAAAAGAGGAGAAAUGUAAAUCAUUAAAUUACUUUUAAAAGGAUUCUUUAUAUUAAUGAUAAACAUCACCUUUAAAAAAAUUAUCUAGUAUAACACAUUUCUUUGAAAAAUAUCAUGGCCCUCUGUAACAAGUCUUUCAAUGUUUCAUGUAACCUGUAAAAUUAAUUUUACCAAUGUUUAUUAAUUAUGAAAAUGCAUGAUGAAUUAUUAUACCUGUAGAAGAAAUGUCAGUAUUUGAUGUGGAGAUCCCAAUGUGCUUGGCUAUCCACCACAAUAAGUGUCAUAUUCUAGACCAAGUUAGGCCUUUACCUUACAAGUUUUUGUGAGAAAAGUAAAACUGCUGUUUUAUCAAGGCUUCAUGUUCCUGUUAAGAUUCCUUCAGAGAGUUGAUGCGUGCACAGAUCUUCAGGGCUGGGCCUAGCUUGAUAUUCAUUGCACUCAUGAGAUGGUCUUCUUUCAGCAAGAGAAGGGCCUGUCCAUCAAUCUCCUGUGCUCUGAAUUCAUCUGCGA